rnacentral:rRNA from 1 species
CCUACGGGGGGCAGCAGUGAGGACUAUUGGUCAAUGGGAGAGAUCCUGAACCAGCCAAGCCGCGUGAGGGAAGACGGCCCUAUGGGUUGUAAACCUCUUUUGUCUGAGAACAAAACCCAGGACGAGUCCCGGACUGCGUGUAUCCGAAGAAAAAGCAUCGGCUAACUCCGUUCCAGCAGCCGCGGUAAUACGGAGGAUGCGAGCGUUAUCCGGAUUUAUUGGGUUUAAAGGGUGCGUAGGCGGUCUGUUAAGUCAGCGGUAAAAUUGCGGGGCUCAACCCCGUCGAGCAGUUGAAACUGGCAGACGUGAGUAGGCGAGAAGUAAGCGGAAUGCGCGGGGUAGCGGUGAAAUGCAUAGAUAUCGCGCAGAACUCCGAUUGCGAAGGCAGCUUACCGGCGCCAGACUGACGCUGAGGCACGAAAGCGUGGGGAUCGAACAGGAUUAGAUACCCCUGUAGUC